CAGCCAACCAGGUGGGAAUCCCCUGGGGAUCACUCUAACAUCCAUCCUCUCUUCUUCCUUCUUUCCUCUUCUCAUUCCAGUCAAAACUCACGUGAUAUUCAUUUCAUAUAUCCUCGACUCUCGCCGUGAGACCCAAGAGCAGACGACAUGCUGCACACAAAUUAAUGUCCAGUUCGGCUGAAGGAACACAGUCAGGGCAGAGAGCUCACUCGGGCGGGAAGGUCACUUUGACCCCUGCUGAAGCAGGAAGUGCACAAGGCCUUCUGGGAUACACUGUCCGGUCGGCGGCAGUACUGACAGCUUGAUGAAUCACGCAGCUGAGGGACACGGUGAAUUUUUCAACCCUCUUGAACUUGAAACAACCUGGCUGGCAGGGACAGGGGUAAAGAGAAGGGAGCCCGCUGUUGUGAAGCAACACGAACGACAAGCCUGAUACCAUUGGAGGUUUUUGUACCAAUCACAACCCUAUCCUCCAGAUCCUGGAGGAAGAGCAGCAGCUUCAUCCCACAGCUCAGACCGCCACACAUUCCCAAGAGAUGACAACCAACACAAACAGAACACACGCCACAGACCACAACUCAAGGCCUGGAUCGACCACACGGACACAGGCCCUCUGCAUUAGUACAUGAUAAAAGAGAGUGAAGAGAAGACAUGAAGACAUUUACACAUGGAGUACAUUGGUGGCAACAUCAUUCAUAUAAUGACCAAUCUAAAAUAUCAACUAUUGGAGCCAGAAGGAACUGGAUUAUGGAUAACACAUGAGGCCCAUGUCUGUCCAAAAAUCACAACAGGAUGAGGUUCGGUGCGGCCAACAUCCGUCGACAGAGAUGAACUCAUCCUCUCCCGUGAGCUGUUCACCUCUACAGCAAGCACCUGACUCCGCCUUUAAAGUCGGACAUGAAAGGAAGAGGAAGAGGCCCACACUGGAGAAGACACCGGUGACAACAAGAAACCGCGCUCUAAUUUCUGUGAAGUCUUUAAGACUUCCCCGCCGUACAGCCUGUGCCAGGCUGAGAAGGAUUUCUCUGCCACUCUGAUAUCAACCAGCAUUGAGAAGCUAAAACAAAUGAUCCUGCUAAUCUUCAGAUCUUCAGUGCUGCUCUCUGGAGACAAGGCACACCUCUUAACACAACUGUUGUGAAUGAAGUUGUGACAGAAUGCACUAAAUUACGGAUUUUUGAAAAGAUGCGUUAAAAAGAGCGGCACGGACAAAAGGGAGAAUUACAAAUACUAAAGAACAUCCGUUUCCAAACCCCCUUUGCUUUGGAGCUCCUCCAGUUCUGUGGUAGUCUGACUGCAUAAUCCCCCCGAGGUGUAAAUGCUCCUACACAGGCAGG